CUAACUAUUUCAUCAACAUGUUUGGUCAUUGUGUUAACAGCUGGAAUCACAUACUUGAGCCGAACACCAGAUAGUUUCUCCCGUUGCUGUACUCCUGCUGUUGAGAUGGACACCUGGCUGUGGAUUAUUAUGGCUACACUUCUGUCUGAGUGUAAAGGAGGAGACGGAGUGACCCAGCCCAGAGAGGAUGUCAUUGCUACUGAAGGACUCACAGUUAGUCUUGACUGUACAUUUGUGACCAUGAGCACAAAUGUGUAUUUGUUCUGGUACAAACAACAAGUCAAUGACUUUCCCAGGUUCAUACUACGACGCUUUACAAUUGGAGAAGGAGAUAAUGCUGAAGAGUUCCACAAAGACCGAUUUGGUGCCAAAAUCCAAAACACAUCAGUUCCUCUGAGGAUCCAGAACCUGCAGCUGUCUGACUCUGCUCUGUACUACUGUGCUUUGAGGCCCACAGUGACAGGAAACACGGACUCCCUGUACAAAAACCUGCUGAGCACUAAACACACUUCCCUCUCCCCCUGAAACCAGCACACAGACAUGACUGACUAAACACGAUAACUCAUCACAACAGUGAACUCAUAAUUAAUUAUCCAUUUCCACCAUAAUCCCGAUAUCUUAUAAUUUGUAUGCAGUUUUUGCAUUUAAAUUUUCUUGUUUAAAGUAUUCACGU